ACGCUCGACACCUACGGGAAGCAGCAGUGGGGAACAUUGCACAAUGGGGGAAACCCUGAUGCAGCGACGCCGCGUGGAGGAAGAAGGUCUUCGGAUUGUAAACUCCUGUUGUUGGGGAAAAAGAGGAUGGUACCCAACAAGGAAGUGACGGCUAACUACGUGCCAGCAGCCGCGGUAAUCUGAGCGGGCUGGCAAGGC
rnacentral:rRNA from 1 species